rnacentral:lncRNA from 1 species
UGGAGGAGCUCCACCUAGACUUUGGAUCAAUGGUGCCACUGAGGACCCGUGUGAAUGGCCAGAUCAUUCUGACCAAUUGCUCCCCAAUGCAGACCUCUUUCACUCUCAAUUUUGACUACUUUGGGAGCCCCCCAAACAGCCUGAGCAAAAGCAUCAGCCUCCCCGACUUGCCUCCUGCCCUGCUAAAGUCGGCGCGGAUCCGA